UACAGAGGUCUCAAGCGUUUGUUCGGAUUCAUUGGGCGUAAAAGGGGUGUGUAGGUGGCGCGCUAAGUCGGGGUGUGAAAAUUUUCGGAGCUUAAACUCCGAAAACUGCAUUCGAUACUGGCGUGCUUGAGGACUGGAGAGGAGACUGGAAUUCAUGGUGUAGCAGUGAAAUGCGUAGAGAUCCGGAGGAACACCAGUGGCGAAGGCGACACGCUGGGCCUACUGACGCUAAAGCGCGACAGCAUGGGGGAGCAAACGGG
rnacentral:rRNA from 1 species